AUACGGGGGGUGCUAGCGUUGUUCGGAAUUACUGGGCGUAAAGGGCGCGUAGGCGGCUCUGCGAGUCGGGCGUGAAAUCCCGGGGCUCAACCCCGGAACGGCGCUCGAUACUGCGGGGCUGGAGACCGGAAGAGGAGGGUGGAAUUCCCAGUGUAGAGGUGAAAUUCGUAGAUAUUGGGAGGAACACCGGUGGCGAAAGCGGCUCUCUGGUCCGGUUCUGACGCUGAGGCGCGAAAGCGUGGGGAGCAAACAGGAUUAGAAACCCUAGUAGUCC
rnacentral:rRNA from 1 species